ACCAACUGGGAAGGAAGGAGGGGGACCUCAUGCGGCAGCCUGCUGUGAGUGCUGUGAAUGGUGAUUGACAUCAUGAGGGUGAAUGUGGACAAGGUUUUGGAACGAGAUCCAAUGCUGUCAGAGUUGGAUGAUGCACUGCGGGCGGAAUUUGAGACCAAUGCUACCAAGCUGAAAAAAAGUAUUGGUGGAAGAACUGUAAGAUAUGGGCAGUGUUGAUAGCAUUUGUUCGCAUCAUCAUCAUCAUCACCAUCACUGUCUGGAGUGUAUCCUCAUGAGUUACAAGAAGAAAUGCAAACCAGUGGAAGCCAUCUCUCUCCUUCAAACCUGCUGUAUUCUCAAGCUCUCACCUACUGAUAUAUAAAGCAAAAUUAUUUCGAUUCGUCAUGUGAUAACUUUCUCUCAUUUAUAGGAAAUGUGCCUUUAUUUAAAAGUUACACUCCUAAUUUUAAAAUACUAAUAAGCACAGGCCACACCUUGCACAGUGCCUUGGUAAUCUUGAGUAUGAGCUGGUGAAGAGGAUUUCAUGUUUGCAUUUCAGAAUCUAGAAGCAAUGUAUUGUUGCCAGUGACGACAGCAUUCUAGAUCAAUGUGAAGAGUAUGUUUGGGUAUCUGUCCUCUUCGCUGUCUCCUUCAUGCCUCAAUUUAAAGAUGUCUCUUCUGACACACUACUAAAGGAAUGGGAACCAAAUCUUAAAUUUGUGCCUUCUUGGAAGAAACUCUGAAUACGUCUGCCAUUUGAACAGACUUUGCCUGCCUUGCCUUACUCCAUUAAUGCCUUCUGACUAGUUGUGGAAGAACCUGCCACCCUUGUAAACACUACUUGUCAUUCACUGCUGUUUUAUCAAUAUGCAGUUAAAUUCUAUUCUUGAAGUUCUAAAUAUUGGAGCACUGAACCGUUAGUGCUGCCUUGUGGUAUUUCUGAUUAAACACAUCUCUAUAAGGUGUUUACAUUUUCUUCAAAAGACAGUCUGUCACUUUUUGGUGUCAGUUUAAUCUGAAAGAGUAUCUUUAAAAAUGUUUAGUGUUUGUAAUGUAGACACUUACCAAAGUUGGUUUUGUUUGGGGGUUUUGUCUUUUGCCAAAAAGUAGUUCAGUGAAAACUUUUCUCUGCAAGCCAGCAAGAUGUUUCCAGUGUAGAAUCAGUGCCAAAUGUAGUUUAAAAAUGUAUAUAUAUUUAUAUGUAAUCUGUUUGCAUUACUUCACAAAUUGUCUUCCCUCUAAACUAGUCCUCUGAGUGAAUGUUCCCUUAGGACUUCAGGAAAGGUUGGUAACAAACGCCGUUGCCUCUUCCCUCUUCUCGACAAACUUUUUCGGUAUGGCUGACUGUUCUCCAUGAGGAGGGAAAGAAAUAACUUGGUGCUUCACCCAGAGUCACCACUAUGUGUACCCUCUAGUCUGUCUGUUUCUAAUUUCUUUCCAGUCCUUGUUUCUACUUCCUCU